UUUACCUCUCUUUAAAUUCUUCUAUGAAUUUAAAACUGGUGAAAUGGCAUUUAUGUUCUCUGUGACAAUGAUUUGGGGCAUCAACAAAGAUGUGGUAGAGCCUUGAAAGAGAUGUUAAUGUUACAGAUGGGGAAUGGUAAUAGGUUGUCAAAUGUUCUGGGUGGAAAAGGGGGCAAAUGGGAAGAAAUAUAGGGUCAUUUUAGGUUCCUAAGCAAGAAGAUCAUCUGAUAACCGCCAAGCCUCCUAAUUUAUAUUCAGGUAACCAGAGGAACAGAAGCAGAAAUAAAAGAGAAGAACUUGUGGAUUUCAAAGGAGAGAGUUUACAACAGAAGAGGAGAGUAAAGUAUCCAGCCUCCCACCUCCAGACGAAGAUUGCUAAAAGGGGAAAGGAGGAGGGAGCUUUCUUCCAUGAAGAUGGGGGAAGAAGGAAAGAAUGGACUUCCAUGAUUGUGAGAAGGAAGUUGAGUAGCAUGAGAAAAGUUCACAGGACACUGUUCUGCUGCUGGACAAGGCAGCAGGGAAAUGGUACCCAGAAGAUUGCUUUGAUCCAAUUCUCCAUUCAGACACCUUGUGGCAUCCCAGCCAUGUCCAAGGAGUGAGCUGAGCCCAUAAGGAAGCAAGGCUUCCCAGGCAGCUGCAGAGGAAAUAUGUGUGCAUCAGGUAAAAUAUAUUCAUAUCUUUCCACAUGGG